CCUACGGGUGGCAGCAGUGAGGAAUAUUGGUCAAUGGGCGCAAGCCUGAACCAGCCAAGCCGCGUGAAGGAUGACUGCCCUACGGGUUGUAAACUUCUUUUAUAAAGGAAUAAAGUGAGGCACGUGUGCCUUUUUGUAUGUACUUUAUGAAUAAGGAUCGGCUAACUCCGUUCCAGCAGCCGCGGUAAUACGGAGGAUCCGGGCGUUAUCCGGAUUGAUUGGGUUUAAAGGGAGCGUAGAUGGGUGGUUAAGUCAGUUGUGAAAGUUUGCGGCUCAACCCUAGAAUUGCAUUUGAUACUGGGAGUCUUGAGUACAGUUGAGGUAGGCGGAAUUCGUGGUGUAGCGGUGAAAUGCGUAGAUAUCACGAAGAACUCCGAUUGCGAAGGCAGCUUACUAAACUGCCACUGACAUUGAGGCACGAAAGUGUGGGUAUCAAACAGGAUUAGAUACCCCUGUAGUC
rnacentral:rRNA from 1 species